rnacentral:rRNA from 1 species
AGUGUAGGCGGCUACGUAAGUCGGAUGUGAAAGCCCCGGGCUUAACCUGGGAAUGGCAUUCGAUACUGCGUGGCUAGAGUCUGAUAGAGGGAAGUGGAAUUCCAGGUGUAGCGGUGAAAUGCGUAGAUAUCUGGAGGAACAUCAGUGGGGAAGGCGGCUUCCUGGAUCAAGACUGACGCUCAGGCUCGAAAGCGUGGGUAGCAAACAGGAUUAGAUACCCUGGUAGUCC